CAACCACAGCCACUACUACAGGCCCAUCGAGGACCUGCGGGACAAGAUUCUUGGUGCCACCAUUGAGAACUCCAGGAUUGUCCUACAGAUCGACAACACCCAUCUGGCUGCAGAUG
ensembl:miRNA